rnacentral:rRNA from 1 species
AUUGAACGCUGGCGGCAGGCCUAACACAUGCAAGUCGAACGAGUGGCGGACGGGUGAGUAGUGUCUGGAAAAGUCCCUGAUGGAGGGGGAUAACUACUGGACACGGUAUCAAACACCACAUACUCUGGGAUGUGCCCAUAUGGGAUUAGCUAGUAGGUGGGGUAAAGGCUCACCUAGGCGACGAUCCCUAGCUGGUCUGAGAGGAUGACCAGCCACACUGGAACUGAGACACGGUCCAGACUCCUACGGGAGGCAGCAGUGGGGAAUAUUGCACAAUGGGCGCAAGCCUGAUGCAGCCAUGCCGCGUGUAUGAAGAAGGCCUUCGGGUUGUAAAGUACUUUCAGCGGGGAGGCGUUACCCGCAGAAGAAGCACCGGCUAACUCCGUGCCAGCAGCCGCGGUAAUUC